CAUUCUGUUCCGGAAGCUUGCAAUCUGAGACACCUGGCAUCUUGUAAUCAAUUAUCUGAGAAACAGGGCCCACCUGCCCUGUACAUCCUGUAUCUGCAACUGUGUAACUGUUACCCCACGCUGUUACCCAACAUCCUAAGUAGAGCUUUUUGUUAGGCCCACCUUCUCCCCUAACCUGCUCCUUCUGCUUCUGUAAUAAUCUGCUUACCCCGACCCUAAUCUAGUAUAAAAAUGUUGAUUGCCUUUUGUUCUUGACCGAGAGGUUUGAGCUCUAGCUGACUCUCGGAUGCUGGGAUAACGGUGGACUCUCAACAAACUCAGUGCGUGGCGCUUCUGUUUAAACUCGCUCAGGUAAAAGCAAGGAAGAUGGAGGCAUACUGCCUUCACAGCAGCAGGAGAAGGGUCUCUGCUCGUUUUUCACAUUGGCAUUGAUUCACAUCUGGGGUGAAAUGCCGUGUUGCUGUAACAGGACUGCAGUAACUGGACUAAGAAAAAGAGAGUAGAAAACUACCCAAGAGGCUUCGGGCAAUCAACGAGGAGCCUGUGCUGUGAGCACUAAGUCUGCUUGUGAACGGGUCAGGGCCAUGAGUGGGCAGUGACCUGACCCAGAGGAACCACAGCAACACCCAGGACCAGCAGGAGAAUAUUUGGGACAAUCUGGACUGAAAAACUCAAGAACAAAUGAUAGAUCUGAGAUAGAAAUGAGAAUUUAA
rnacentral:lncRNA from 13 species